CUACGGUUUUCAGCCUCGUAUCGACUGUAUCAUGUCACAAACUAGACGUGAAGAGAUUCAGCGUCAUAACGAGGAGGUUGAUGAGGCAACUGAUGUUUCUACCAAAGAACUAUUCGGUGUAAUUGUUCGAAUGAACAAAGGGGAAAGUGUCAUUGAAAGACAGCUUGGGUUUGUUGAUGUCAGUUGUGAUAGGACUGCGACUGCUAUAUCAUCAGUAGUUAAGGUAAGUUAAGUCAAUACAAUAAUGUGAAAGAGAAAUUUAUUGGACAGACUUAUGAUGGUGCAUCUGUUAUGUCUGGUCAUCUCAAUAGUGUUCAAGCUCAAGUUCAGCAGGAUUAUCCUUAUGCUCAAUUUGUUCACUGUGCUGCCCAUAGACUAAAUCUAGUAUUAUGUCAAGCUGCAUCCUCCAUCUCACCUGUUAAGAUUUUCUUUGUUAAUAUUAGUGCUUUCUGCACCUUUACUAGCAAUUCCCCCCAAAAGAAAAGCUUUACUAUCAUCCCAUAGGCUUGAGUUUCCUAUUCAUGGUGACACAAGAUGGUAUUAUAGGGCUCAUGUCAUCAAUGUCUUGCAUUUUAACUAUGAGAAACUGGUAGACAUAUUUGAAAAUCUUACUGAUAAUCCAAUAGGUUGGGAUGAUGAAACGUUAAGUAAGGUUACUGGUUUACUUGGCUACCUUAAUGGCUUCUUGUUUUGUUUCUUGGUACAUGUUUUCCAGAGAAUUCUUGAGCAGUCAUCCAUACUUUAUUCUAUCUUGCAAGACAAGGACACUGUUGAAUAAGUGGGACCACCAGUAACCAGGGUAUUUAAGAUUUGGAAAGGUGAAGUGCCCUCAGAAAAGAUUAAUCUUCUAAAGGAGGUUUAUGGUGAUAUGUUUGACAUACCAAUGCUAGUUAGCCAACUUUCUUUUAUUUACAGAGAUAAAGACUUUCACUGUGAUUCAUGUGAUGAAUUAUUGAAAUAUAUUUUUCAGUUCCAUUAUCAAUGUAGUAUUCCAGAAAUUGUAAAACUGUUAAAGAUAAAUGGGGUUUUGUCAAUUACAAGUGCUUCAGUUGAGAGGUCAUUUUAUUGUUUGAAGAGGGUAAAAAAUUAUCUUAGAAAUACUAUGAGCCAAGGACGUUUUAGUUCUCUUUGCAGGAUUUCCAUUCACAAAGACAUACUGUCAGAGAAAGAAGACGCCAACACAUUGCAUGAUGAGGUAGUAAAGAAGUUCAUUGAAAAACCACGAAGACUAGCUUUCUUAUACAAAUAGGUAUACAUAUAUGGCUGAUAGCAAGCUGAUGAUGUCUUACGUCCAUGGCAUGUGAGAAUUUUUCCGGGAACUUUUUAAUGCAGUCAAUGAUGAUUGUCAUUUCAGCACGACAAUUUCAUCACAACUUUUGAUAGUUGUUGAUGACAAAUCUGAGCCUUUUUCGGUUCUUUUGUCAAAGUUUCUUUACAAGAUGUACAUAGGUAUCUAUUUAUGUAUGUAGUGUU